GAAAGUACUUAAGGAAAUUCCUGUUUCAAUUUUCCUCCGUGGUCUGACGCUGUCAUAUAUACAGUGGUGGUGGUGGGAGACAUCAAACCCAGGACCGGCCACCAGAGACAGACGUCUCGAAGACAGAGAUACAGAUACAGAGAACCAGAUAAGGACACCACUAGGGGCCCUUUGACACCACCUGCAGCAUCUCCUGCCGCCCUCAGCGCCCGUCACCACCCACCCGUACCGUUGCCUAGUACGCCCUUCUUCACGCCCCUGCCUAAGACACCCGUUUGGAAAUCUGGAAUAGCGUCUUAGAAACCGGCGGCUAGAAAGGCGGGAUCCAAGAGCCAACGUUCGAUUCUGCAUGCACAAAUAGCCUAGCACAAGCGGCCACCAGGUGUUCACGCAACACUCGUAGCACCAAGAGUUCAGCGCAGGAUACAACAAGUUCAAAAUUAUACUACGGGAACAGAUAUGAGCUGGGGGACGAAGUGCAGGACGACACCAACUGGGAACGACACUACCUGAGGACGACACCAACUGGCAACGAUAUUAGUGGGAACGAUACCAGAGAGGAAGCGUCAAAGAGAUUGAAAAUGAAAAUUCUAAAGAUAUAUUUUGAGAAUAAGAAUUCAAGUGGAACGUAUCUACUGGCCAGCAUAAAGAUAGGCGAGUACUUGCACACGCUCGUUGAAACAGAUAUACUAUCAUACAGUUACUUAGUUCUUUAAUAUAUAUUAUGUUUUAGGCAUGUUGGAAAUAAGUUCGCCUCCUAGGGACUUGUGAGUGUUGCAACUUAUUAAAAUAAGUCAUAGGUUCAGGUAAUGGCUCUGUGAUUAAAUCUACCUUGUAUGUCUACCAGAUGACAUAAUAUCUAUGAUGUGUUGUUAUGAAUAUUUUUAAUCAAUGUAAUAAAUUCUUUACCUCUGA
rnacentral:lncRNA from 1 species